rnacentral:rRNA from 1 species
AUUGAACGCUGGCGGCAAGCCUAACACAUGCAAGUCGAACGAGUGGCGGACGGGUGAAUAAUGUCUGGGAAACUGCCUGAUGUAGGGGGAUAACUACUGGAAACGGUAGCUAAUACCGCAUACCAUCGGAUGUGCCCAGAUGGGAUUAGCUAGUAGGUGGGGUAAAGGCUCACCUAGGCGACGAUCCCUAGCUGGUCUGAGAGGAUGAUCAGCCACACUGGAACUGAGACACGGUCCAGACUCCUACGGGAGGCAGCAGUGGGGAAUAUUGCACAAUGGGCGAAAGCCUGAUGCAGCCAUGCCGCGUGAAUGAAGAAGGCCUUCGGGUUGUAAAGUACUGUCAGCGGGGAGGCGUUACCAACAGAAUAAGCACCGGCUAACUUCGUGCCAGCCGCCGCGGUAAUAC